rnacentral:rRNA from 1 species
CAUAGGUUAAUGAGGCGAACCGGGGGAACUGAAACAUCUAAGUACCCCGAGGAAAAGAAAUCAACCGAGAUUCCCCCAGUAGCGGCGAGCGAACGGGGAGCAGCCCAGAGCCUGAAUCAGUGUGUGUGUUAGUGGAAGCGUCUGGAAAGGCGCGCGAUACAGGGUGACAGCCCCGUACACAAAAAUGCACAUACUGUGAGCUCGAUGAGUAGGGCGGGACACGUGGUAUCCUGUCUGAAUAUGGGGGGACCAUCCUCCAAGGCUAAAUACUCCUGACUGACCGAUAGUGAACCAGUACCGUGAGGGAAAGGCGAAAAGAACCCCGGCGAGGGGAGUGAAAAAGAACCUGAAACCGUGUACGUACAAGCAGUGGGAGCACGCUUAGGCGUGUGACUGCGUACCUUUUGUAUAAUGGGUCAGCGACUUAUAUUCUGUAGCAAGGUUAACCGAAUAGGGGAGCCGAAGGGAAACCGAGUCUUAACUGGGCGUUAAGUUGCAGGGUAUAGACCCGAAACCCGGUGAUCUAGCCAUGGGCAGGUUGAAGGUUGGGUAACACUAACUGGAGGACCGAACCGACUAAUGUUGAAAAAUUAGCGGAUGACUUGUGGCUGGGGGUGAAAGGCCAAUCAAACCGGGAGAUAGCUGGUUCUCCCCGAAAGCUAUUUAGGUAGCGCCUCGUGAAUUCAUCUCCGGGGGUAGAGCACUGUUUCGGCAAGGGGGUCAUCCCGACUUACCAACCCGAUGCAAACUGCGAAUACCGGAGAAUGUUAUCACGGGAGACACACGGCGGGUGCUAACGUCCGUCGUGAAGAGGGAAACAACCCAGACCGCCAGCUAAGGUCCCAAAGUCAUGGUUAAGUGGGAAACGAUGUGGGAAGGCCCAGACAGCCAGGAUGUUGGCUUAGAAGCAGCCAUCAUUUAAAGAAAGCGUAAUAGCUCACUGGUCGAGUCGGCCUGCGCGGAAGAUGUAACGGGGCUAAACCAUGCACCGAAGCUGCGGCAGCGACGCUGAUGCGUUGUUGGGUAGGGGAGCGUUCUGUAAGCCUGUGAAGGUGUGCUGUGAGGCAUGCUGGAGGUAUCAGAAGUGCGAAUGCUGACAUAAGUAA